AUGUUGACCUGGGAUUGCACAACAUGUACAUAUGAAUCAGCUACUAUGCCUGACAGUUUGGUGGACAUUGAAGAUAGGGAUGCACUGUCCAAUUUCAGCAAACUUGUAAUAGUCGAAUCGGCCUCCUCUAGUUUGUUAAGCCGGAGAAGCGCUUCGGACCUCAUGGCAAGGAGCUGCAUAAGAAACAUGGUCUGCUCCGUUGGCAAUGGCGGCGUCUGCUUCCCUCAGCGCGCUCUUCCAGUCUCCGAUCCUCCUCGCGUCCAUGCAUUUCCCCAGAUGGCUCUCCACCUCAUGAAGUUUUUGCCACUCAGCAGGGUCAGACUGGUUCGCGUUCCCGGCCAGCGU
rnacentral:rRNA from 1 species